GGCAACUUCAGCCACAUGGAGAUCGUGAAGGAGAAGGUGCAGCUGCAGGUCGAGCCUGAGGCUUCAGCCUUCUGCACUCCCAGCUACUUCACGCUCAACUCACAGGUUCUGACAGGUCAGGGCAAGGCGGGGGCCCAAUGAGAGUGGCAGACUGCCUUGACACAGCCCGGUGUUUCCCCAGACAGCAUACACCAUCCCCAUCAUGGCCUUCGCCUUCGUCUGCCACCCCGAGGUGCUGCCCAUCUAUACUGAGCUCAAGGACCCCUCCAAGAGGAAGAUGCAGCACAUCUCCAACCUGUCCAUCGCUGUCAUGUACAUCAUGUACUUCCUGGCUGCCCUCUUCGGCUACCUCACCUUCUACAACGGGGUGGAGUCGGAGCUGCUGCACACCUACAGCAAGGUGGACCCGUUUGACGUCCUGAUCCUGUGUGUGCGCGU
rnacentral:sRNA from 1 species